rnacentral:tRNA from 1 species
GCGGGUAUCGUUCAGUGGCAGGACCCCACUCUUCCAAAGUGGUGACACCAGUUCGAAUCUGGUUACCCGCACCA